UCAAGUAAUUUGUAAUUAUAUGGUCUGAAACUGUCUAUUUUUGGUACAUUAUACUAAAUUGUACACAUCUCAUUACCUAAUAACUAUUUUAAUUCAUAGUUUCCUCUAAAAGAAAAUAGACAUCUAGAGGUUUUCAAAAUCAUAUGUCAUAUUCUCUGAUUCAUUUUCAAUGAAUUGAUAAUAUGUUUUGAAGUUGAGUGAAAUACGAAAGGUUGAUUAUGUACUUUGCAUUUAGUUGAGAAAUUAUGUUACUAUUGAGUAAAAAGCAUGCAUACUCAUAAUAUACUAAAACUUUAUAAUUUAUUAAGUCAGUGUUGCGAAUCUAGGAUUGAAGUAUAGACCUAUGAUGAAGAGUAGAUUAUAUAUGAUAAUGUUGUAGCUUUAGUUUAUCGACACUAAACCUAAGGUUUAUAUUGUAGGCCCAACUGAAGAAGAUACCUAAGUGGAACCACUCUAUAGCGAGACCAAAACCAUCUUGUAUAUCAGGUUGAGCGGCGGAUGUGGAGUGUGGUGCUGAGAUGAAGAUCCUUUUUUCUAUUGUAUAUAACUAGUUCCUUUAAUGGAACAACUCUUUUGUGUAUCUCCACCCGCUUCAUAUUUUGUAAAUCAUAAUGACUCUUGUACGCUUUGCUAAUGUAAAUUAUUGUUAUCUUACACUUUGGGUUCA